rnacentral:snoRNA from 1 species
AUGAGAUAUGAUGAUAUUUAUCCAUCAGUUCUGCAAUAUGAAUGAUGAUCCUUAAUCAUGCACUACCAUCUGAUCUCUU